GACAGAGGGGGCAAGCGUUGCUCGGAAUUACUGGGCGUAAAGGGCGCGUAGGCGGAAUGGCAAGUCGGUCGUGAAAUCCUUCGGCUCAACCGAAGAACGUCGAUCGAAACUGCCGUUCUUGAGGAUUGCAGAGGAGACUGGAAUUCCUGGUGUAGCGGUGAAAUGCGCAGAUAUCAGGAGGAACACCGGUGGCGAAGGCGGGUCUCUGGGCCGUAACUGACGCUGAGGAGCGAAAGCGUGGGGAGCGAACAGG
rnacentral:rRNA from 1 species